ACCAUGCACGCAUCGAGCUGCCUCCAUCGUUCCAAACAAAAAUCCCCACCUCUCUGCUCUCUCGUGACGGCCGAUCUGCCCCGCUGCACACACGCGCCGCCGGCCGCCGCCAUGCCUUAAGCAUCUAAGCGCCUGAGCUCCUGAUCUAUUCGCCGCCGCCGAUGGACUCUGAUGUGGAGGCUGCCGCCAGGCUUUAAGCAACAACUGCAUUCUAGAUAACGUGAUUUCCGAUCUGGGUAUCUGGAUACAAAUUGCAGACUAUGCUACCCUAAAAAUUAGAGCUGAAGUGAGAAGGGUCUUUGCUUGGAGCCAAUGAGUGUUUAAUCAGCUGGAGUUAUUUUUUGCGAAUAAUUGAAGUACAUCCUCAGCAAAAAGUUUCCAUCCGCCGGUUCCUCCUCAAUCCCCUCAGUAAGAACCGCGAUCAAAUUCCCUCAUAUGGAUUUGUACUCGCACAGGGACGGCGGCGUGGAAAGGAGCGACGCUCCGCAGAAUAACUGCAUCCCCCGUGUGGAGGUCGUCAACGGCGGCUGCACCGAGGAGAGCUUUGGCACCGUGAGGGUGGAGUUGUUACCGAGGAGAGACAGGGUGCCGUUGGAGAGAAGGUGACGGCGGCGCUGCAUCGAGAGCUAGCCUGGAGACGAACUGCGUCGGCACAGCCGCACGGGUGGCGAGAAGAUUGUCGCCUCGGACGGGAGCGGCGUCGCCGGCGUUGCCACGGAGACGGACGUCGUCGGCACCGGGAAGGGCAUCACCGCUGUCGAGCAGAUGCAGGGAGACUUCUUUUACUGUCACCAGUGCCGUCAGAAAAGAAAAGGAGCCACGCCAGCUUGCAAAGGGGGUUUCAAGAAAAAGGGC